rnacentral:rRNA from 1 species
GAUGAACGCUGGCGGCGUGCUUAACACAUGCCAGUCGAACGAUGAAGCCCAGCUUGCUGGGUGGAUUAGUGGCGAACGGGUGAGUAACACGUGAGUAACCUGCCCUUCACUCUGGGAUAAGCCUGGGAAACUGGGUCUAAUACCGGAUAGGAGCGUCCACCGCAUGGUGGGUGUUGGAAAGUUUUUUCGGUUUUGGAUGGACUCGCGGCCUAUCAGCUUGUUGGUGAGGUAAUGGCUCACCAAGGCGACGACGGGUAGCCGGCCUGGGAGGGUGACCGGCCAAACUGGGACUGAGAAACGGCCCAGACUCCUACGGGAGGCAGCAGUGGGGAAUAUUGCACAAUGGGCGCAAGCCUGAUGCAGCGACGCCGCGUGAGGGAUGACGGCCUUCGGGUUGUAAACCUCUUUCAGUAGGGAAGAAGCGAAAGUGACGGUACCUGCAGAAGAAGCACCGGCUAACUACGUG